rnacentral:rRNA from 1 species
GAUGAACGCUAGCUACAGGCUUAACACAUGCAAGUCGCGGGGCAGCAUGGGGGUUGCUUGCAAUCCCCGAUGGCGACCGGCGCACGGGUGAGUAACGCGUAUCCAACCUGCCCUUCACCACGGGAUAACCCGGCGAAAGUCGGACUAAUACCGUAUGUUGUCCAUUGACGGCAUCCGAUUUGGACGAAAGGUUUGGCGGUGAAGGAUGGGGAUGCGUCCGAUUAGCUGGACGGCGGGGUGACGGCCCACCGUGGCGACGAUCGGUAGGGGUUCUGAGAGGAAGGUCCCCCACACUGGAACUGAGACACGGUCCAGACUCCUACGGGAGGCAGCAGUGAGGAAUAUUGGUCAAUGGGCGUAAGCCUGAACCAGCCAAGUAGCGUGCAGGAUGACGGCCAUAUGGGUUGUAAGCUGCUUUUAUGCGGGGAUAAAGUGGCCCACGUGUGGGUUUUUGCAGGUACCGAAUGAAUAAGGACCGGCUAAUUCCGUG